CGACGCUACAAUCAACGACCACUGUGCGUGCGUGUGUGUUAUUGUCGUCGUCUCGUCUUUUCGCUUUACACGGGCGCGGUCUUCCGUGCCACUUUUGGCCGUUUACUUCUUUUCGCCUGUCUCUCCCGUUCGCGGCAACGGCUGCGGUUUGCGUGUUGCUCUCUCUCUCUCUCGCUUCCUCUUCCUCUGCCGCUGCUGCGGUUGCUGUUGUUCUUCUUCGUGCAAGUGGGCGAGUGCUAGUGGAUCAACGCGCAUGUGCAUUGCCCAUGGAUCCCACCCUCUCUCUCUCUUGCCUCCUCUGCAUUUCCCUUCCCUGCCGCCUUUCGCCCACCUCACGCACAUAGACACAGCCGUUGCGGCACUGACUCGCACGUGCGCGCGCACGAGCACUCACACGCCUGCAAGAUGGAGACCUACAAGGAUGUCAUUGUCAGCCAUCCGCCGGCGAUGUACUCGCAGUCAGGGUACACGACACACUUUGCUUUAGAAAACUACAAGGGAAUCUUGCUCUGCCAGCGACCGUCAAACCUCGGCUCGGCGGCUGGGUUCGGCGGCGCCGGCGGUGCCGAUGGCUACGAUCGAGGAAACGCAUCCUCUGCCCCGUUCGUUCCUUCGAAGCCCACUGGCAACCCACUUGGCUACGGACCGUCCAAGGAGAGUCGCGACGCCCGUGCUGAGCAGGAGGCGUUGCGCGUGGCGAACCAGCGGCAGCGCCAAACAAAGUCGUCGCAGGCGCUCUCGCGCCACCGUCGCUGGCUGCGCAGCUUUGCGCGGCAGGUGCAAUCAAUGAAGGAGUCUGACCGGCAGCUCGAGGUGGAGGCGGCGCAGCGAGCCGCCAGGGUGCGAGAGGCAGAGAAGCGCAGGCGUGCUGAGCAGCAGCAGGAGCUGGCCGCGAUCGCCGUUAGCACAGAUAACGCCAGCGCGCCGCCAUACAACAUGCACAAGUCGAUGGAAGCACACGUGGCGACCACGCUCAAGGGCACGGCUGCCCCAGUGGCGCCCUCCUCCCGCAAGCCGAAGUGGGCCUUGACCGAGGAGGAGGCGAUGGACGCCGAGCUCGACUUCGACCGCGACCUCCUCGACUUCGCUGAGAACCUCGACUACGAGAAGUUCAUCUCUGACUUUGAAGUCGCGGAGGCGCUGGGCGUUAUGCGGGAUCGCGUGGAGGAGAUUGCGAGGGCAAACAACUGGUCCGUCGACGACAUCCGCCGCGCAACGACCGACGAUGAUGACGAUCUCAACUCGGUUGUGUCGCCUUCAGAGGCGCAUCUCAUUCUCUGCAGCAAACAGCGGCAGCAGCAAGGUGGUGGUGCUGCCGCUGCGGAGGCUCGAGCCGCGCUCCCGGAGGCGCUGGCGGUGCACGCGCACGACUGGGACAGCAGCAGCAGUGGCCGUGGCCGGCUGCUAAAGAAGGCGAUAAGUCGUGACGCUCUUGCCCUCGCGGAGCGGCUGUUUGCCGCCUCCCCAUCGCUGCAGAAGGUUCACACGCGGCACAGCCUUGCGCGUGCGCUGCAGCGGUGCGCCUUGGAAGGCCACGUCGACGUGACGGAGUCCACGUUGCUGCGGCACGCGUCCAAGCCUAGCGCGGCGAAGGGCGGCGGCGGUGCUAACAGUGAUGCGGCGUCGUCUUCCCCUGCAGCGGUGGACCCUCCGGCGAUUCCGGAGCCCUUAGUCGUUAAGAUAGGCGCGGAUGCGAUGCCUGCGCCUUGCAGCAGUGCCGACGGAUUCACCGGAGGCUCUGCGGCCGGCAUACAGCCGUCACGUAUUCUGCGUGAGCUUCAGCAGUCGAAGGAGCGUACACAAGGACUGCCGUACCUCUACCGCUGUCCCGCCAUCUAGACUACACAUGUACGCAGGCACGAGCUCGUGAGUGGUCUGUGUUGGUUUACGCGAUGACAUCACGUCGAAAUCUUUUUUCACCAUGUAAAUCUUCGCGCAUGUACAAUACUGGAAGAGAGCAUGCUUGUGUGCUUGUGUGUGUGAGAGAGAGAGAGGGUAUGCGUAUGUAGUCAAGCGGUGUGUGCUCGCUGUCAUCGUCGUCGUCGUUUCCUCCUCUUCUUUCUCGAUGGCUCUGUGGACACUCGCUUGGGCACUGCCCUUCCCCAACACACACACACACACAAACUUUUUUAGAGCUGCCGCAGUAAUCAACCACUGCAGCCGCAACAGCAGCGCGUGGCACCGCCUCGGACCUACACGCGGGUGCACAUGCGCAAGCAGCGCUUUCCUUCGUUACUGUGUGUGCGCGUUCCAGUGCGUUCUUGUUCCACCGCGUGUGGCGUUACUUUGCCGCCGUUUGCCAUGGCGCUCUCCACUUGUGCCAUGAAAGUCGUUGCUGCAGCAGUGACGGUGUACCCGACCGGACUUCGAUAACUCCCGGGUAAUCAGUUACGCCUGUGCCUCUUCUCUGAACACACAACACACACACACACACACAUGUGCAUGCGUGCACGCGAAUACGCGCGCUCAGGGCAGGCACGCCUUGCCCACCUGAUAGUCAUCCUUUCUCUAGUUGCGCUUGUGUGUGUGUGAUCACGGUCAAACUGCGUAGAACGCUGCCCUGGGACACACGAACUUAUCGACUCACUCCUCAUGGUUCAUCACUACGAUUGCUACGAAUGCGUUGCCGCACGUCUGCCCCCCCCACCACCACCAACUCUCUUACUUACUCACCUCCAUGCCUAUCACUUCACUGCCCCUCUGCUCUCUCUAUCCGCCGCUUCAUCGACCGUCGUGUGCGCGGGCUGGGGUGGUGGUGAGGCUAG
rnacentral:misc_RNA from 1 species